rnacentral:pre_miRNA from 1 species
GUACCUUGGGCUUGAUCCAGUGCCCACUGAAGUCAAUGGGAGUCUUUCCAUUGAUUUGAAUGGGCAGUAGAUCAGGCCCUUGCAC